UUGACAGCACUGGAGACUAAGUUCUGAAUUUAUUCAUCAAACAGGUUCAGCACGGGUAGCAGCAGUGCAAGCUCCCCCACACUGCCCCUCCAUUGUGCCUCAACUCUGACCUGGAGGGACCACCUCUGGGGGUGAGAGCGUAGUUCACUCUCCGUGCUUCUUCAGUCCUUGGAUUCU
rnacentral:sRNA from 1 species